UACGUAGGGUGCGAGCGUUAAUCGGAAUUACUGGGCGUAAAGCGUGCGCAGGCGGUUUUGUAAGCCAGAUGUGAAAUCCCCGGGCUUAACCUGGGAAUGGCAUUUGGGACUGCAAGGCUUGAGUGCGGCAGAGGAGACUGGAAUUCCUGGUGUAGCAGUGAAAUGCGUAGAUAUCAGGAGGAACACCGAUGACGAAGGCAGGUCUCUGGGCUGACACUGACGCUCAUGCACGAAAGCGUGGGGAGCAAACAGG
rnacentral:rRNA from 1 species